rnacentral:rRNA from 1 species
GAUGAACGCUAGCGGCAGGCUUAACACAUGCAAGUCGAGGGGUAUAGUUCUUCGGAAUUAGAGACCGGCGCACGGGUGCGUAACGCGUAUGCAAUCUACCUUUCACAGAGGGAUAGCCCCAGAGAAAUUUGGAUUAAUACCUCAUAGUAUAGCAGUUUCGCAUGAAACCACUAUUAAAGUCGCAACGGUGAAAGAUGAGCAUGCGUCCCAUUAGCUAGUUGGUAAGGUAACGGCUUACCAAGGCAACGAUGGGGUAGGGGUCCUGAGAGGGAGAUCCCCCCACACUGGUACUGAGACACGGACCAGACUUCCCUACGGGGAGGCAGCAGUGA